rnacentral:misc_RNA from 1 species
UUCUGUGUCUGUUGUGCUGCGUUCUGAUGGCAGCAUUGCAGAAUACUCGGUGGAAAACUCAAUCAUCAAACCGACAUAUAUGUUGACAUAUGAGAGUGCUACGGAGCUCCUUCAUUUGAAUCUUGAAGAAGAGAUUGAACUGAAAAUUCUUUCUGAAGCAGCUGCACUCCGGUUAAGAUGGCGUCGCGAACAGGGUGCUAUAGACACAGCCACCAUCGAAACACGAAUAAAG